rnacentral:rRNA from 1 species
AACGAACGCUGGCGGCGUGCUUAACACAUGCAAGUCGAACGCGAAAGGGACUUCGGUCCUGAGUAAAGUGGCGCACGGGUGAGUAACGCGUAGAUAACCUGUCUUCAUGUCUGGAAUAAUACGCCGAAAGGGGUACUAAUACCGGAUAUUCUUGCUUUUCAUAAGUUAUGCAAGCAAAGGUGGCCUCUGCAUAUGCUACUGCAUGAAGAGGGGUCUGCGUACCAUUAGCUAGUAGGUGGGGUAAUGGCCUACCUAGGCGACGAUGGUUAGCGGGUCUGAGAGGAUGAUCCGCCACACUGGCACUGGAACACGGGCCAGACUCCUACGGGAGGCAGCAGUGAGGAAUAUUGCGCAAUGGGGGAAACCCUGACGCAGCGACGCCGCGUGAGUUGAGGAAGGCCUUCGGGUCGUAAAGCUCUGUCAAGAGGAAAGAAGUGUACAAUGGCUAAUACCUGUUGUAUUUGACGGUACCUCUAAAGGAAGCACCGGCUAACUCCGUGCCAGCCGCCGC